rnacentral:rRNA from 1 species
GACGAACGCUGGCGGCGUGCUUAACACAUGCAAGUCGAGCGGUAAGGCCCUUUCGGGGGUACACGAGCGGCGAACGGGUGAGUAACACGUGGGUGACCUGCCCUCAGCUCUGGGAUAAGCCUGGGAAGCCGGGUCUAAUACUGGAUAUGACUCCAUGACGCAUGUUGUGGGGUGGAAAGCCUUGUGCGGCUGAGGAUGGGCCCGCGGCCUAUCAGCUUGUUGGUGGGGUGAUGGCCUACCAAGGCGACGACGGGUAGCCAGCCUGAGAGGGCGACCGGCCACACUGGGACUGAGACACGGCCCAGACUCCUACGGGAGGCAGCAGUGGGGAAUCUUGCGCAAUGGGCGAAAGCCUGACGCAGCGACGCCG